GGUGGCGACCGGCGCACGGGUGCGUAACGCGUAUCCAACCUUCCCGAUACUCAGGGAUAGCCUUCCGAARGGGAGAUUAAUACCUGAUGGUGUUUCAAUUCCGCAUGUUAAUGAAACUAAAGAUUUAUCGGUAUCGGAUGGGGAYGCGYGACAUUAGAUAGUAGGCGGGGUAACGGCCCACCUAGUCUACGAUGUCUAGGGGUUCUGAGAGGAAGGUCCCCCACACUGGAACUGAGACACGGUCCAGACUCCUACGGGAGGCAGCAGUGAGGAAUAUUGGUCAAUGGUCGGAAGACUGAACCAGCCAAGUAGCGUGAAGGAUGAAGGUUCUAUGGAUUGUAAACUUCUUUUAUACGGGAAUAAAACCUCCCACGUGUGGGAGCUUGUAUGUACCGUAUGAAUAAGCAUCGGCUAACUCCGUGCCAGCAGCCGCGGUAAUACGGAGGAUGCGAGCGUUAUYCGGAUUUAUUGGGUUUAAAGGGAGCGUAGACGGGAGAUUAAGUCAGUUGUGAAAGGCUGCGGCUCAACCGCAGCACUGCAGUUGAUACUGGUUUCCUUGAGUUCGGUUGAGGUAUGUGGAAYUCGUGGUGUAGCGGUGAAAUGCUUAGAUAUCACGAAGAACUCCGAUU
rnacentral:rRNA from 1 species